rnacentral:rRNA from 13 species
GCCAGCGCCUUGGUCGCGCUGAAUGCACUCGUUCCCGUCAGAUCACGAAAGUUUAAGCAGCGCCGGGCACGGAUAGUACUUGGAUGGGUGAAACGCCUGGGACUCCGUGUGGCGUUGGCG